rnacentral:rRNA from 1 species
AAACGUAGGAGGCGAGCGUUAUCCGGAUUUACUGGGCGUAAAGAGCGUGUAGGCGGUUUAGUAAGUCGGACGUGAAAGCUCCCGGCUCAACUGGGAGAGGCCGUUCGAUACUGCUGGACUUGAGGGCAGUAGAGGGAGGUGGAAUUCCGGGUGUAGCGGUGAAAUGCGUAGAUAUCCGGAGGAACACCAGUGGCGAAGGCGGCCUCCUGGACUGUCCCUGACGCUAAGACGCGAAAGCUAGGGUAGCAAACGGGAUUAGAAACCCCGGUAGUCC